rnacentral:rRNA from 1 species
AAGCGGGAUGAGCUCAAAUUUGUAAUCUGGUGGACUCAGUUCAUCCGAGUUGUAAUCUAUAGAAAAGUUUUCCGCGCCGGACCGUGUCUAAGUCCCUUGGAACAGGGUGUCAGAGAGGGUGAGAAUCCCGUGCUUGAUACGACCACCGGUGCUAUGUGAUACUUUUUCAACGAGUCGAGUUGUUUGGGAAUGCAGCUCAAAAUGGGUGGUAAAUUCCAUCUAAAGCUAAAUAUUGGCGAGAGACCGAUAGCGAACAAGUACCGUGAGGGAAAGAUGAAAAGCACUUUGGAAAGAGAGUUAAACAGUACGUGAAAUUGUUAAAAGGGAAACGAUUGAAGUCAGUCGUGCUCUCUGGGACUCAGCCGGUUCUUCCGGUGUAUUUCCCAGUGAGCGGGUCAACAUCAGUUUAGAUCGCUGGAUAAGGUCAUUAGGAAUGUGGCUCCCUCGGGAGUGUUAUAGCCUAGUGUCGCAUACAGUGGUUUAGACUGAGGAACGCAGCUCGCCUUUAUGGCCGGGGUUCGCCCACGUCCGAGCUUAGGAUGUUGACAUAAUGGCUUUAAACGACCCGUCUUC